rnacentral:misc_RNA from 1 species
UCUCCGUAGGUGAACCUGCGGAGGGAUCAUUACUGAGUGAGGGCUCACGCCCGACCUCCAACCCUUUGUGAACCAAACUUGUUGCUUCGGGGGCGACCCUGCCGACGACUUCGUCGCCGGGCGCCCCCGGAGGUCUUCUAAACACUGCAUCCUUGCGUCGGAGUUUAAACAAAUUAAACAAAAACUUUCAACAACGGAUCUCUUGGUUCUGGCAUCGAUGAAGAACGCAGC